rnacentral:rRNA from 1 species
GAUGAACGCUGGCGGCGUGCCUAAUACAUGCAAGUCGAGCGAACAGACGAGGAGCUUGCUCCUCUGACGUUAGCGGCGGACGGGUGAGUAACACGUGGAUAACCUACCUAUAAGACUGGGAUAACUUCGGGAAACCGGAGCUAAUACCGGAUAAUAUAUUGAACCGCAUGGUUCAAUAGUGAAAGACGGUCUUGCUGUCACUUAUAGAUGGAUCCGCGCCGCAUUAGCUAGUUGGUAAGGUAACGGCUUACCAAGGCAACGAUGCGUAGCCGACCUGAGAGGGUGAUAGGCCACACUGGAACUGAGACACGGUCCAGACUCCUACGGGAGGCAGCAGUAGGGAAUCUUCCGCAAUGGGCGAAAGCCUGACGGAGCAACGCCGCGUGAGUGAUGAAGGUCUUCGGAUCGUAAAACUCUGUUAUUAGGGAAGAACAAAUGUGUAAGUAACUAUGCACGUCUUGACGGUACCUAAUCAGAAAGCCACGGCUAACUACGU